AUAGCGAAUGCGAAAAUGGCGGACCUCAGGCUCAAGCGUCACAGAAAGAUGGGGUUUUCCCAGGAUUUUGAAGUUGCGCGUUAUCUACUGGAGUUUGAAAAGUAUACAACGAGACGAAGGAAGGUUGAAGAUAAGAAACUUUCCAGUUCGUCUGUUAACCCGUUUGACUUCACAGGAUUUUUAACAAGAAGAGUGGUCGUUGGUCAGUAUAUGAAGAAAUGAAAAAGAAGACCUUCUAGUACAUUCCAUAAUUAUUGACUUCAGCCCUAAAACUCAGACUGAAGGACCACACUGGGAUGAAGAUGAAAGGAACUGGAUGAAAAAGACCCUAGGCGCAUUUCAAAACAUUUGGCACAUGUGCCACCACAGCCAACAGCAGAUCUGGCAAAUCAGAAACAGUCUAGAUUUUAGAUCUGUGUACUAUUGAAGCACUAAAUGCUUAUAUGAUUGUUAUGUUGGAAUUAGAUUGGUGACCAGGCAUAUAAAGGUUAUUGUGACUAACUUAAAAUAAAAUGUUUUUGGUCAAUAACAAAUGUUCAGAUCAAUCAAACUUGAUAAAGUUGGGUUUGUAGCAAGAUGCAUGCAAUUGCAUACCCAAUCUUUAUAGCAAGCUGCAUGUAGACCAAGCUUGGUUUCCAUUUUGAUGCAUAUUCUUCUAGUGUUGCUGUGAAUGUUAUUUAUUUGUAUUGUUCUGAAGUUCUUAAUUGCAUAAGUUGCUUACAAUUUAACCCUGUGUUAACUUGUGUAAAGACUCUUGCUUUAUUCAUUGGUUAAAUUGAAAAUCUUGUUUUAUGGCCUGGAAGGGAGGAAUAUAGUUUUCAAACUGUCUAUAUGUCUGCCCAAAACUGUGUGUUCAGUGCAUAUCUUUGUUAUCUAUGGUUAGAUUUUAUAAUAUCUUGGCACACAAGAAGCAUAGGAAGAUGAAGUGUUGCCUGAAUUACCCAGGUCUCUAGCUCAAAGGUUAAGGUCAUACUUUAAGAUUGUACAUUGAUAGGCGUGUCUGGUGCAUAUCUUUGACAUUAAUGGGUAGAUUUUCAAAUAGCUUGGUACAAAUGUGUAGCAAGAAGAUGAAAUGUUGUGCAUAACACCUAGGUCCUAGCUCAAAUGUAAAAGUCACACUUAUAUUUUCAAGGUCAUAUUUCAAGAUUAUGCAUUGAUAGGCAUGUGUUGUUCAUAUCUUUGUCUAUGGAUGAAUUUUGAAAUACUUUUGCACAAGUGAAAAGGUUACUAUCACAAGACCCAGGUUCUCAGCUCAAAGGUCACACUAAGACUUUUAAGGGCAUGUUCCAUGAUUGGGUAUAAAUGGGUAUGUCAUUCAUCAAUUUAUUUUUAAACAACUUGCCACAAUUGUUAAGCACAGUAAGAAAAAAGUGUCACGUACAACCCAGGAUCCUACCUCAAAGGUAUAGGUCAUAAAACCAUUUGUGUCAUGAUUCAUCCUCUGGAGACAGUUUGUGAUUAUGCACUUUUAACAGAUUUGUGUUUUGUAAAGUAUCGUUGAUGUAAAGAUAUUUAAUUAAUGCAUAUCUUUGUCUAUGGAUGAAUUUUGAAAUACUUUUGCACAAGUGAAAAGGUUACUAUCACAAGACCCAGGUUCUGAGCUCAAAGGUCACACUAAGACUUUUACGGGCAUGUUCCAUGAUUGGGCAUAAAUGGGUAUGUCAUUCAUCAAUUUAUUUUUAAACAAUUUGCCACAAUUGUUAAGCAUAGUAAGAAAAAAGUGUCACGUACAACCCAGGAUCCUACCUCAAAGGUAUAUGUCAUAAAACCAUUUGUGUCACGUUUCAUCCUCUGGAGACAGUUUGUUAUUAUGCACUUUUAACAGAUUUGUGUUUUGUAAAGUUUAGUUGAGGUAAAGAUAU